rnacentral:rRNA from 1 species
GUCUACAGCCAUGCCACCCUGAACAAGCCCGAUCCCAUCUGAUCUCAGAAGCUAAGCAGGAUUGGGCCUGGUUAGUACUUGGACGAGAGACCACCUAGGAAGACAAGGUGCUAUAGGCA